GACGAACCGUGCGAAUGUUGUUCGGAAUCACUGGGCUUAAAGGGAGCGUAGGCGGGCUAUCAAGUCUGGGGUGAAAUGCCGCGGCUCAACCGUGGAACUGCCUUAGAUACUGACGGCCUCGAGGGAGAUAGGGGCAUGCGGAACUGUAGGUGGAGCGGUGAAAUGCGUUGAUAUCUACAGGAACUCCGGUGGCGAAAGUGGCGUGCUGGAUCUCUUCUGACGCUGAGGCUCGAAAGCUAGGGGAGCAAACGGG
rnacentral:rRNA from 1 species